rnacentral:tRNA from 1 species
GCGUGGCUUAGUGGUGCCCGUCAGGCUAGUAGCCUGAUGGUCGUAGGUUCGAGUCUGG